UACGGGAGGCAGCAGUGGGGAAUAUUGCACAAUGGGCGAAAGCCUGAUGCAGCUAUGCCGCGUGUAUGAAGAAGGCCUUAGGGUUGUAAAGUACUUUCAUCGGGGAGGAAAAACAAAACUAAUAAUUUUAUUUCUUGACGUUACCCGAAAAAGAAGCACCGGCUAACUCCGUGCCAGCAGCCGCGGUAAUACGGAGGGUGCUAGCGUUAAUCAGAAUUACUGGGCGUAAAGAGCACGUAGGUGGUUUUUUUAAGUCAGAUGUGAAAUCCCUGGGCUUAACCUAGGAAUUGCAUUUUGAAACUGAAAUACUAGAGUAUCGUAGAGGGAGGUAGAAUUCUAGGUGUAGCGGUGAAAUGCGUAGAUAUCUGGAGGAAUACCUGUGGCGAAAGCGGCCUCCUAAACGAAUACUGACACUGAGGUGCGAAAGCGUGGGGAGCAAACGAGGGAUUAGGAUACC
rnacentral:rRNA from 1 species